rnacentral:rRNA from 1 species
GAAAGGUUGAAAAGAACUCUGAAGAGUUAUGAAACAUUGAAAUUAAGUAUAUAUACAACAGUUAGAGCGUAUUAUUUAUUUAUUGCGUGAUAGCGUACCUUUUGCAUAAUGGGCCAGCGAGUUAUUUUAUUUGGCGAGUUUAAUUUUUUAUAGUAGACGUAGCGAAAGCAAGUUUUAAGAGAGCGUUAGUUAAUUAAAAUAGACCCGAAACUAAGUGAGCUAACUUUGAGCAGGUUGAAGGUAUUUUAAUCAAUAUUGGAGGACCGAACCCGUGUAUGUGAAAAGAUACUGGGAUGACUUGGAGUUAGGAGUGAAAGGCUUAUCAAACUUAGAGAUAGCUGGUUUUUUACGAUAUCUAUUUAAGUAGAGUGUUGCUAGAUGUAUUUAUAGGGUAAAGUUACCUGUAAAAG